AGCAAUGUAGGUUUAGACGACUUUAAUGUCUACAAAUAAAAUAAAUAAACUGUGCUAUGUUGCAAUAUUGGAAAGUUGGGCGUUGGGAAUUCUCGUCAUUUAUAAAAGAUGAAGAAAAUUGUCGAUAGCUUAUCCUCUGUUCUCAUUUUGGCUUUGGUUGCCAAUGUCAGGUGCCACUGUUCUUGUAGGAUUAGUACACUUAAUCUGACCCACCACUCUCUGGACGGCAGCCGUGCUCAUACCAGAUUACUCCAUCCGAAUGUCUGUGUAUCCGAAAUUAAGCCAGUGGUACAAAAAUAUCAUCCUCUUCAAAUGAGGUCUGUGGAGUUGUUUGAACCAUGUUGUUGCCGAGCUUUCUGGAGAACACAGCGUGUGCUUCAAGGUUGGCGGACCAUCUACAUGAGUACAGCUUAUUAUUGCCAAAGCAUAUCAUGUCCUUACUAGGUUUGACAAGACAGUUGAAAAAAAUCAUAAGAAAGACAACAAAUGGUUUUAUUCGAAAGAACAUGUAUAAAUGUUUCACCCUUCAUCUUUACAUAGGAACAGCUGGAUAUGUGUGCAAAAAAAACAACAAAAAAUGCUUUGUCAGUUAAUGAAGUGAACCUAUAUUGUUCAUAAGAAAUGUAUCCAACAAUUUGUCAUGUAUACAUACGAUUUACUAGUCAAAUUCUGUUAUAAGCGUUACAUAAUAAUUAUCUAAUAGGAAUUAACCUAGCAUUUGUGUAUUUGAUACAGUUCUCUUUCUUUUUCUUCUUUUCUUUUCGUCCUUUCAUUAUAACUGUUAUUUCUGUAUCACAUGUUUAUAGAAACAUCUAAAUAAACAAGUAGGCUUCUUUUAAGAAAGAAACCUAGGAGAGGUCCAGUGUUGCUCCUUUUAAAGUUAUAUCAGACACAUAGAUAACAAUUGUUAUCUAAUUAUUGUCUCUGGUUAUAUGAUAGGUUAAGCUAUAGACGAGUUUCACUGCUGCAGGUCACUGUGACCUAUCAAGGGCCUAAGCAUUUCCUAGUUAAUACUGAAUUUCAUAUAAAAAUGUUCAAAAGCUACCACUGCAAUAAUUGUACACUGAACUUGGCCCUGGUGAAAGCUGUCAAACUAGCAUCUUACAAUUUAUGCGAGAACCUCACCUGACAGGCUCAUUUUGCCCUGUUUGUUUGGGUCCAAGAGAAUAGCUUCCGAGAAGCUUUAGAAAA
rnacentral:lncRNA from 1 species